ACGUAGGGUGCGAGCGUUAAUCGGAAUUACUGGGCGUAAAGCGUGCGCAGGCGGUUUUGUAAGUCAGAUGUGAAAUCCCCGAGCUCAACUUGGGAACUGCGUUUGAAACUACAAGACUAGAAUAUGUCAGAGGGGGGUAGAAUUCCACGUGUAGCAGUGAAAUGCGUAGAGAUGUGGAGGAAUACCAAUGGCGAAGGCAGCCCCCUGGGAUAAUAUUGACGCUCAUGCACGAAAGCGUGGGGAGCAAACAGG
rnacentral:rRNA from 1 species